rnacentral:rRNA from 1 species
GACGAACGCUGGCGGCGUGCCUAAUACAUGCAAGUCGAGCGAGCGGCGGACGGGUGAGUAACACGUAAGGAACCUACCGAUAAGCGGGGGACAACAUCCGGAAACGGGUGCUAAUACCGCAUACUUAUCGAUGGCCUUGCGGGGCAUUAGCUCGUUGGUGGGUUAACGGCCUACCAAGGCAAUGAUGCAUAGCCGACCUGAGAGGGUGAUCGGCCAAAUUGGGACUGAGACACGGCCCAAACGCCUACGGGAGGCAGCAGUAGGGAAGCUUCCGAAAUGGGCGCAAGCCUGACGGAGCGACGCCGCGUGAGUGAAGAAGGUUUUCGGAUCGUAAAGCUCUGUUGUAAGAGAAGCGGUAUCUUACCAGAAAGCCACGGCUAACUACGUGCCAGCAGCCGCGGUAAUAC